AAAAGGCUAACAUACCAAGAGGCCCAAAAUUCUAACCCUAAAUCCUCUUUCCUCUUAACAUAGCCGUCAUUCUCCUUUCCUCUUUCCUCAUCUCUCACGCACUUCCCUCCUCUAAAACCCUUACUCCUUUCUCUUCUCUCUUCAUUCCUCAAUGUCUGAUCCUAAAAAUCUCCGAGCUGACGUCCAAUUAUCUUCCUCCCCGUCGUCUUCUUCCUCUAUUUACAACUAUCCAAUUCAUUGCAUCGCUUUGUUUUUUCAACCCCAACUCCAACUCCGAUGCAGUACGGUGCGCGAAAGCUCGAACCAUUGCAAUCUUGAUUUUGCUCUGUUUAUGGUCGUUGUUGCAGGUUGAAUAGAGUUUUACAUUAUCGAGUGCGGCUUCACUAUUUGCGUGCACUAUUGAUGGAGGCGCUGUGGUGGUUGAGGUGGUGGAGACGUUGUGGUGGUCGAGGUUGGUGGAGGCGAUGCUAGUGGUUCAAGUUGGGGGAAGCGCUGCUAGUGGUUCAUGUUGUUGAAGCGCCGCUGCGAUUGAAUUGCCUUUGAUAAUUCAAGUUGCAAUUUCGAACUAGUUACUAGUUAGCAGUUUAGCACUCUAAUAAUUAUUAAGUUAGCAGUAGAAUUGUAUCAAAUGUACUUGAGAUGUAAAUAUAUGUAAAUAUUUGAAUAUAAAGGAUAAUAAAAGUUCAUUUUAAUUUGA